rnacentral:rRNA from 1 species
UACGUAGGUGGCGAGCGUUGUCCGGAUUUACUGGGCGUAAAGAGCGCGCAGGCGGUCGUUCAAGUCGCGUGUGAAAGCCCCCGGCUCAACUGGGGAGGGUCACGCGAUACUGAUCGACUCGAAGGCAGGAGAGGGUAGUGGAAUUCCCGGUGUAGUGGUGAAAUGCGUAGAUAUCGGGAGGAACACCAGUGGCGAAAGCGGCCACCUGGACUGCACCUGACGCUGACACGCGAAAGCUAGGGGAGCGAACGGG